GCGGGGCGGCUCCGCCCGCCCGCUCCUCCGCUCAGCAGUGAAAUGGUGCUUCCUAGGAACCCAAACCUCCCUGGUCUCCGCCAGGUGCCGAACAGCAGGAACCGCGCGGGACAUACUUGGCAGUGAUCCCUUUCCGGAGCCACGUGCUGUGCCCCUUCAUAUGUUUCCAUUUCAGAGACUAUCUUUGUUUUCUAAAAUACUGGGCUUGAAAUUGUGCGCGCCUUUUUGGAUGACCUUGACUCUUGCUCACUAAAUGGGCUCUGACUUUCACUUUUCUUUUGUCGUACUUUACCUUUUUUUUUACCCGGCUAGUGGCUCUUGGGGCAGGGCAGCAGCAUCCCCCUCUUCCCGUGGGGCCGCUGUGUCUGGCGCGGGUGUCAGGCUUUGCCUACGCCUGGGCCCUUGCGGAAGCCUCAGACGCCGCGGAGCUCAGCCGCGCUUUUCCCGGUCUCGACGGUCAACAGGAACGACUGGGAGGGCGUGUUCCCGGGCGGGGGGCGAGAGCGAGACGUGUUAAUGGCCAUUUCUUUCCAAAACUCCUUUAGAACUUUUGCUGUGGCUUCAGUGACAGGAAGGUAUCGAAAGGUAUUCAGUGUUGGAAGGUAUCUAAAGGGGAAACCAUUCUCCAUCGCUAGGGGCCUGAUCCCACCGGAGAGUCCACAGUCCGGGGAAAGGGCGCCCCGCCCUCUGGGAAGGGUGCACUCUAACCCGCUGCCCUACCACGCCGAAGUUUCCUCCUUUUUCCUGCCUUUGUUGCAAACAGCGACGGAGCCGCGAGUAGGUGGGAGCUCACCUUUGAUGUUUAUUUUAUUACUUUCCACCAUUUGUGUAGAAAACGUACACAGUCCUCUCUUAUCUUUAUUCUAGGAGUUUUGAAGGCAUUCACAAUGGGGCAGACGGAAUGACAGAGCCAUCCGCGGCUCUGUUGUUUUUGUGUUUUGGGGAGACUGAUCGCCUUUGCAGAUUAGACUGACAUUUCUGACGUCUGCGCUUGGCGAAUAGGGUGGGGAGUGGCUUCUAGGGAGAUGAGCUGCCCCACAGGGGGUCUGCUCAGUGCUAGCCCUGAGACUUGGUGGUCCCCCGACCUGGGGAGGAAAGUGAGCUCCGACAAGAAAGAAAUCAGACAAGAAAGAAAUCAGCGAGGUGAAGAGGCACUGAUUUGGCCAGGGAUAAAAGGCAUUCAUAGUGUGUCAUCCUCCUUGAAGGCCAGGGGUGGGCAGGAGGGGAGGGUGCAUGCCUAUUUUAUGCGGGAGAUAAGCCCGAGGAGGGUUGAGGUGGGGUCCCUUGGUCACUGCAGAGUCUAAGGGAGGCCACUGUGAGACCCCAGGGCCAAGGUGUCCUGUGGCCAAGGAGUGUUGGUUGCUACCAGGGAAGGUACCACCCCGCCUCCAUGUCUCACUUUUCCUUUUUCUUACUUAGCUCCUUUACCCUCCCCAGCUGCAGCAGAGCCUCCCCUUACCUGGAUCUCAGGUGGGGCAAGGUUCUGCUCCACGUGUCACUCCUAUCAGGUAGGCUGCGGUCUGCAGGUUUGGAGCCUGAAAAGUUUGGGGCCAAGGGAGUGGGGUGGAGUGGAAGAAUUCUCAGCAGGAAAACCAAUUCUAUUUUCAGAAUGACUUAGGGGAUGGUCAGGUGAGGAGCUGUGUGCAGCCAUCUAAGUGGACUUUGGAAAGGAAGGUCCCUGGGUGAGAAUGGUGGGAGGUGGGCUACCUGGAAAGGGUCCCCCGCCCCUGCAACUAAAAUGUAAGUUCCAGGAGUGCAGUUUUGGUUUUCUUUUUUUUUCCUUCAUGGCUGUAUUCCCCCAUCCUUGCCACACAAAUAUGCCGUUUGCUGAGGAUAAAAUCAUUGUCUUCAGUUACAAUCAGAAAUAAAACUGCUCUUUCCUUUUUUGGUUGAUGUUGGUAUUAUCAUUUUUAGCUGUUGUUUUAGAGCCCAGAAAUCAUUCCCCUUUUGCAGCUAUGAGAGAAACCAGGAAAGGAUGGAGAAAGGCGUCCAUUCCCUGCAUGUCUGUCCGCAAUGACCUGAAGGCUGAGUACAGUUUAAGAGCCCAGACACUGCAAAAAAGUCACUUGGAUUAUUGUGUUCCUUCAUAACAUUUCCCAGAAAUGCUUGGAGAUUUCUGCUCCCUAAUUCCCAGUCCUUGGGGAGUAUGCCAUUGAUGGGUUAAUCAUAAAUGCCUGUAGGUGGAGCUGACCAAAUAGUUGCAGGUAAGAAAGACCUGUUAGCUCAUUUUCCCCCUUGCCCUUUAAUUUCCAGGGAGAUAAGUGAGUAAACUGUGGCAAAGGAUCAGUUCACACUUCCAUGAUCUGGUGGCCUCUAUGAAGUGGUUUUAGGCAAAGGAAGAUAAUGCAUAUGUCUCCAGGCACCAAGAGCUAUCUUAAUCAACUAUGGAAACUAUCUGCAAAUUUAAAGCUUUCAUAAUUUGAUAGUGCUUCACUGACCUAGUUUCUAAACGCUAAUCUGACAAGGAAAUAAUUUUAUUUCUAAAAUACCUAAGGUGAUUUAGUAGACUGGACAUGGUCUCCCGGUGGACAUAUUGAUGACUUGCUCCAUGCAUUAGAAGAACAUGCAGCUUCCCAGCACAAAGGGACUGCAGAACUAUCUUGAUAGCAGCACCCACCUGGCCACCUGGACAAAGCUAUGAGUUUCUUGCCAUGUUAACCUCUGCCAGUAGCCAUGCUGUUGACCUCUGGAUCUAAAGAGAAGAUGGAGACAAGGACAUGCGUAAAAACAGCAAGACCCAGAGACGUGAGCCAGAAAAGUAUUCUGACAAGAUCGGAAGCCAGAGAUGCUAUUGGGACAUCAGUGUCCGAACAUGAAGACCUCGGCCAGUGCAAAUGGAGGCGGUGUAAUUGGUGGCACAUGUUGCCUGGUACAUAGAGGCUCCUUAUAAAAUGAUGUGCCCAGUUGUUCAGUAGAACAUGCUGUGAGUUUAGAUGAUCAGACCAUACAUCUCAAUUGCCCAGAACGAUCCAAGUGUCUGCUUCUUUUCUCUGUGCCAUUGUUAAGAGGGUCCCCUUCCUUCUAUAAAAGUGCUUUGAUUUUGGACAAU